rnacentral:rRNA from 1 species
AACGAACGCUGGCGGCGCGUCUUAAGCAUGCAAGUCGAGCGGCAAGGUGGGGCAACCCACCCUAGAGCGGCGGACUGGUGAGUAACACGUGGGUGAUCUGCCUCUGGGUUGGGGAUAGCCAUUAGAAAUAGUGGAUAAUACCGAAUAAGUUCGCGAGACCUUUGUUUUGCGAGGAAAGGUCCGUUUGGACCGCCUGGAGAUGAGCCCGCGGCUGAUUAGCUAGUUGGUGAGGUAAUGGCCCACCAAGGCGAUGAUCAGUAGCCGGCCUGAGAGGGUGUACGGCCACAUUGGGACUGAGAUACGGCCCAAACUCCUACGGGAGGCAG